CGUGACAACGCGACAUUGACACAGCACUAUUGCCUCAUUUUAAUAGACUCAUUUUAAUGAGCUGGUUAAUGUUCAUUAAGUACACCACAGUUCUGUAAGUGGAGAAAUAAUUCAUAUUUGUGUGUUUUUCUCUCAGUAAGGACUAACAUUAACUGACUGUCUGUCCUCAACCAAAGUCAUUCAAGACCUGUAAAAGUUUAGCACAAACGUUUCCCGCGCAAGUUUGAAUCUCUCUCAGUCAGGGGAGAUUGACUGACUGACUGACUGUCUACACGCCACCAAACAGUCAGUUAUACAGAAACCUUUUAAAGUAAGGACUAACAUUAACUGACUGUCUGUCUGUCUGUCUGUCUGUCUGUUCUCAAGCAAAGUCAUUCAAGACCUGUUAAAGUUUAGCACAAACGUUUCCCGCGCAAGUUUGAAUCUCUCUCAGUCAGGGGAGAUUGACUGACUGACUGACUGUCUACACGCCACCAAACAGUAAUUUAUACAGAAACCUUUUAAAGUAAGGACUAACAUUAACUGACUGUCUGUCUGUCUGUCUGUCUGUCUGUUCUCAAGCAAAGUCAUUCAAGACCUGUUAAAGCACAAACGUUUCCCGCGCAAGUUUGAAUCUCUCUCAGUCAGGGGAGAUUGACUGACUGACUGUCUACACGCCACCAAACAGUAAUUUAUACAGAAACCUUUUAAAGUAAGGACUAAGGUUAACUGACUGUCUGUCUGUCUGUCUGUCUGUCGGUUCUCAACCAAAGUCAUUAAAGACCUGUUAAAGUAAGGACUAAGGUUAACUGACUGUCUGUCUGUCUGUCUGUCGGUUCUCAACCAAAGUCAUUAAAGACCUGUUAAAGUAAGGACUAACGUUAACUGACUGUCUGUCUGUCUGCUCUCAACCAAACAGUCAUUCAAGACCUUUCAAAGUUUAGCACAAAAGUUUCCAGCACAAGUUUGGAUCUUUACCAUUGAGGGUGGCUGACUGUUCUCGACCAACCAUCAUUCACACGCAAAAACUUUAAAGAUAAGUAUGAACGUGCCCAGAGCAGUUUUCGAUCUUUACCAUUAAGGAGGCUGACUGACUAUCCUCUACCACCCGUCAUUAACACAACAAAAACUAAAGAAAUGUUACUCCAUAUGGACCUAUUCAUUUACUCAUUAUGCUGUGAGUACACCACAGUUUUAUCAGUGAAAAAAUUUAUAUUUGUGUGUUUUCUCACUUCUUGGCAAGGACAGAUGUGGCCCUGUUAAAAAUGUUUAAAUGUUGUUUGGUUAAGGAACAGCACACUGAUUUUGUUUUAAAAUAUUCCUGUUUGGACAGUCUGUUAAAGUCAAAGGAAUACUUGAUAUAUUUCUAAGUAAAGUGUAAAUGAAAAAAUUAGUUUUUAAUGUUGUGACUGAACACAAUGUUGUGAAUGAUUUGGACUGAACAGCACACUUCUGUUUUAUAUCUGAACCUUUUGUAAAAUAAAUGAUUGUUCAUUAAACUCACUGUGUAUUUUAUCUUUUCUGUUAUCAUUUUUUUAUACUAAUGUUUAAAAUUUACCUUUACUCUAAACAAUUGGCUAAACCAACACAAAUACACUGAGUCAUAUGCACUUAUAAUUUAAAGUUUACAAUAUUUAGAUUGAGAUAUAUGUAUAAGUUUUAAAACCAUGAGUGUACCCUGUCAAAGCCAUUUUUGUACCCUUUUUGAAGGGUCCAUAUUUGUACUGUUAAAUAAAGGUACAAAAUUGUCACUAGAGGUACAAAACUGGUCCCUUAAGGUACAAAUCACAAGGGUACAAUUUUGUACCCUCUGCCAAGGGUACAAAAACUGUACCCUUGAGGGUACAGCCCCAGUGACAAGCCAUUGUACCCCUAAAGGUACAAU